ensembl:lncRNA
AUGAUUUUUUUCUGCUGUUUGAUUUACUUAAUUAAAUUAAGCUCAUGUCACACAAUUACUUUGUAUUUUCUUCUCGACUUAAUUCCAUUGUGUACAAUUAAUCUAAUUCGUCUGCGCAUGCGCUUUGAAAUCCAGGACCGUUGGUAUGGGAAAGGACACAUGAGGGGACUGACUGACUUGUUUUCAAAGCUCGUUAAAAGUGACAUUUGCUGUACAUGUGGAAUUGCAAAGCCUGAUCAGUUGUUGUACCAAGUAGGUUAAAACUUCUGCAGCAUUAUAGGUUAAAACACAGACAUUUUGGACAUAGUAGUCGUUUUCCAUGUGUAUAUUCAGACUGCACAUUUAGAACUUGGAAUGCGCUUAGAAUUCAUUUAAAUAGAUUUCAUGUGAUUCAUGUGAUGUGGCUCUCUUAGUUCUGCUUAUCAAUGUAGGCAGUAUUAUAAGACUAACUUUAAUGUAGUUGAUCCAGUUGAAUAUAUUCUGGAUGCUAAAAACAAAAAGUCUUUUCAGUACAUUCCAAUUCUUGAUUUCCUGCAAGUGCAUUUGAAUCGAAAAUAUAUUUUAGACAAGAUAUCUCAGAAUCAGAAAACACAAGAAACUGAGGAAGAAAAUGUGUAUCAGUCUUUUAGAGAUGGUCUUUAUUUUAAACAAAAUAGCUUUUUGUCAGUUCAGGAGCUAAGACUUUUUGUGGGUUUAUGUGUUGAUGAUUUUGAACUCUGCAACCCCUUGGGGACAUCCCGCAAAAAAACACAAGCCUUGUGCAGUCUAUUGGGUGCUAAGUAACCUACCUCCUGGGUCAAAUUCAUCAUUGUCCUCUAUAUAUUUGGCCCUACUAUGUAGAACUGAUGAUGUUAAAACAUAUGGCCAUAACAGAGUGCUUAACCACUCCUAAAAGACCUAAAAUCCUUGGAAGAACAUGGAAUUUUCAUAUCACUGUUAUGGUUUAGCUGGCUUUAAUGAAAGUUUUUCAGGGCAUUAUAUUUGUCGAUUUUGUACUGCAAGCAAACAAGACAUUCAGUCAAAAGAGGUGUUCUCAGCCUCAGAACAAAAGAGCUCCACAGUGCUCAUGUGAGGCUGGCUGAGGAUAGCGAUACUAUUUUGGAGUGAAAAAAGCUUGCCCUCUAACUGAAGAGAGAGGCAGCAGCACUAAAUUCCUGGGGGUGCACAUCACAAAGGAUC